rnacentral:rRNA from 1 species
AGAGUUUGAUCCUGGCUCAGGAUGAACGCUAGCGGCAGGCUUAAUACAUGCAAGUCGAGGGGCAGCGCAGUGUAGCAAUACAUGGGCGGCGACCGGCAAACGGGUGCGGAACACGUACACAACCUUCCUUUAAGCGGGGAAUAGCCCGGGGAAACCCGGAUUAAUACCCCAUAGUACGUCGGAGAGGCAUCUCUCUGAUUUUAAAGAUUUAUCACUUAAAGAUGGGUGUGCGGCUGAUUAGGUAGUUGGCGGGGUAACGGCCCACCAAGCCUACGAUCAGUAACUGGUGUGAGAGCACGACCAGUCACACGGGCACUGAGACACGGGCCCGACUCCUACGGGAGGCAGCAGUAAGGAAUAUUGGUCAAUGGACGAAAGUCUGAACCAGCCAUGCCGCGUGGAGGAUGAAGGUCCUCUGGAUUGUAAACUUCUUUUAUAUGGGACGAAAAAGGGACUUUCUAGUUCAACUGACGGUACCAUAUGAAUAAGCACCGGCUAACUCCGUGCCAGCAGCCGCGGUAAUACGGAGGGUGCAAGCGUUAUCCGGAUUCACUGGGUUUAAAGGGUGCGUAGGUGGGUUGGUAAGUCAGUGGUGAAAUCUCCGAGCUUAACUUGGAAACUGCCAUUGAUACUAUCAGUCUUGAAUACCGUGGAGGUCAGCGGAAUAUGUCAUGUAGCGGUGAAAUGCUUAGAUAUGACAUAGAACACCAAUUGCGAAGGCAGCUGGCUACACGAAUAUUGACACUGAGGCACGAAAGCGUGGGGAUCAAACAGGAUUAGAUACCCUGGUAGUCCACGCC